rnacentral:rRNA from 1 species
UACGUAGGGGGCAAGCGUUGUCCGGAUUUACUGGGCGUAAAGGGUGCGUAGGCGGUCAUUUAAGUCAGAUGUGAAAUACCCGAGCUUAACUUGGGUGCUGCAUUUGAAACUGGGUGUCUAGAGUGCAGGAGAGGUAAGUGGAAUUCCUAGUGUAGCGGUGAAAUGCGUAGAGAUUAGGAAGAACACCAGUGGCGAAGGCGACUUACUGGACUGUAACUGACGCUGAGGCAUGAAAGCGUGGGGAGCAAACAGG